AGAACGAACGCUGGCGGCAGGCUUAACACAUGCAAGUCGAACGCGUGUAGCAAUACACGAGUGGCGCACGGGUGAGUAACACGUGGGAACAUGCCUUUCAGUCUGGGAUAACAGCGGGAAACUGCUGCUAAUACCGGAUAUUCCCUCUGGGGGAAAGAUUUAUCGCUGAAAGAUUGGCCCGCGUUAGAUUAGGUAGUUGGUGGGGUAAUGGCCUACCAAGCCUACGAUCUAUAGCUGGUCUGAGAGGACGACCAGCCACACUGGAACUGAGACACGGUCCAGACUCCUACGGGAGGCAGCAGUGGGGAAUAUUGGACAAUGGGCGCAAGCCUGAUCCAGCCAUGCCGCGUGAGUGAUGAAGGCCUUAGGGUUGUAAAGCUCUUUUGUCAGGGAAGAUAAUGACGGUACCUGAAGAAUAAGCACCGGCUAACUUCGUGCCAGCAGCCGC
rnacentral:rRNA from 1 species